rnacentral:rRNA from 1 species
GACGAACGCUGGCGGCGUGCUUAACACAUGCCAGUCGAACGGCAGCGCCCUGCUUUUGUGGGGUGCUCGAGUGGCGAUCGCGUGCGUAACACGUGAGUAACCUGCCCUUGACUUUGGGAUAACUUCAGGUAACUGGGGCUACUACCGUAUAGCAUCUCCUGCUGCAUUGUGGGGGUUGGAUAUUUUCGGCGGUUGCGGUUGGACUCGCGGCUUACCAGCUUGUUGGUUGGGUAGUGGCUGACCCAGGAUUUGACGGGUAGCCGGCCUGGGAGGGGGACCGGCCUCAUUGGGACUGAGGGAGGGACCAGAGUCCUACGGGAGACAGCGGGGGGGAGUAUUGCACAGUGGGCGGAAGCCUGAUGCAGCAACGCCGGGUGCGGGAUGACGGCCUGCGGGUUGAAAAACGCUGUAGCCUGUGACGAAGCGUGAGUGACGGUAAUGGGUGAAGAAGCACCGGCUAACUACGUG